AAACGCACUGUAUUUAGAGAAAAGAACAUAGUAUCGUAAAAGUCGUAGAGUAAUAGUAACGCGCAUCAACCCACACCUACCAGAGACGUUACCACCACCACAACAAGGAUCCACAUCAAUACAAGCAUUUGGACAGUAUAAUAUGAAACAUUAAGAUAAACCUGUACACACUAAUAAAUAAUGGAUGCGGACAAAAUGGUUCGACAAAUAUUAUCAUGAUUCACGAACAAAUUCGAUAUAGAUGCAACUAUAACCAGAGAACUUCUAGUAGGUAGUCACUAUUAAAGUUCAACAGUUAAAAAAUUAAAUUUGCACAGAAAAGAAAACAAUAUGUUAUAAUACAAAUCAUCCCGAAAAUGGGGGGAACCUGCAACAAUCGUUCAUAUAAUUCCCGCAAUUGUUGCCACACGAAAUUUGGAAGACCAUCGUGAGUGUAUACGACUUUUUUAUGAUUAUUAACACCAUAAUUAUUGGUCAAUAUUGUUUUUGAUGACAUAUUGAAUAUGCAAUGAUACAUAAUGAGGACUUCAGUAUCCAAAGGAACUGCGCUUUGGUAUUAUGGAAGAAACAAUAAUGGAACGUAGACAAUCAACAAUCAAUACGCCGAGAUAAGAAUGAUUCUCCGAGCUAGGUGGGUAUGUAAUUGCAGUGUUAAAGCCCUAAAGGAUAAUAUUAAUUUUUGACGUAGAGACAUCGCUUAAAACUUGGCGGAAGCCACAACACAAAAGACAUAUACUGUCUUAACAACAAUAGAAUCAAAAGCGUGGUAUGGUUUAUUACAUUAUAUAAUAUACCGAUAUAAUAUACGAGCGGAAUAAAAAGCUGUAAUACUAUACGAAAAAAAAAAAUUCUAUUUGUCGAUUUUUCAUUUUUCUGUUCUUAUAUAGUUGUACUUUCUUAUUUUUAUAAAUAAACAUGGCUUAUAAUGCUUAUAUAUAUUAUAUAAAUGGCUAGCAGCAAAAACGUGGUUUAGAAAAGAAAAAAAAAUACAAACAUCUUUAACCAUCAACGAAAAAAAAAAUUGGACCAAUGUAUCAUAAAUGAAUUGUUCUUACUGGCAAUAGCCUUAUUCAUUUACGAAACCUUGCACUUUUCAAUUGGUUUUUUUUUUUUUAGUUCUUUCAAUCUAUAUUAUUUAUUUUUCUUCGUUUCUUUUCAUCAUAAGUUAAUUGCUCCUCUUUUGAUGAAUUAAAAAUUCAGCUCUUUAUUUCUGGGUAAUCGAAGUUACUGGGUUUUAAAUAAACUUGACUUUGUAUUCGUUAUUUUUGUGGUUCGUAAAGUCUACCUACACAGUGAUUUAAUUUUUACUAAUACAUGUUUGGUAAUAAAGUUUAGACAGUUUAAUUUACUCUUGGGUAAUUUAAAUUUUGGUUCAACUUAACUUAAAAUGUAAUACUCAACGUAAUAAAUCAUAAAUGCACAAGCAAAUAACAACACAUUUUAAUAGAGUUUAUACAGUUAAUGUAAUCAAUUAUAUACUCUGUUUAAUACCAGCACACGUUAUACUAUUACAUUCAAAGCAUUCCGAUUAAAAUUAAAGAUAUAUCAUUGAUUCAAAACGGAAUUCAAUCUAUACAUAUUUUUAUAUGUUAUUAUUCAAUUAGUGAUGCUAAAUAAGUCAACCAAUAAUGGAUGGAAUAGAGGGAAUUGCAUAAUUUGUUUUUUUUUGUAGCUGCAGACAGUUUUGGAAGAAAG